GUUCUCGAUGCUCUAGAAUUACGCGGAAGAAGGGCUUACCUACUCUUGACAUCCAGAGAACUUUCCAGAGAUGGAUUGGUGCCUUCGGGAACUCUGAGACAGGUGCUGCAUGGCUGUCGUCAGCUCGUGUUGUGAAAUGUUGGGUUAAGUCCCGCAACGAGCGCAACCCUUAUCCUUGUUUGCCAGCGAGUAAUGUCGGGAACUCCAGGGAGACUGCCGGUGAUAAACCGGAGGAAGGUGGGGACGACGUCAAGUCAUCAUGGCCCUUACGAGUAGGGCUACACACGUGCUACAAUGGCGCAUACAGAGGGCGGCCAACUUGCGAAAGUGAGCGAAUCCCAAAAAGUGCGUCGUAGUCCGGAUUGGAGUCUGCAACUCGACUCCAUGAAGUCGGAAUCGCUAGUAAUCGUGGAUCAGAAUGCCACGGUGAAUACGUUCCCGGGUCUUGUA
rnacentral:rRNA from 1 species